rnacentral:rRNA from 1 species
GACGAACGCUGGCGGCGUGCUUAACACAUGCAAGUCGAACGGAAAGGCCCUGCUUUUGUGGGGUGCUCGAGUGGCGAACGGGUGAGUAACACGUGAUUAACCUUCCCUUGACUUUGGGAUAACUUCAGGAAACUGUGGCUAAUACCGGAUAGUAGCUCCUGCUGCAUGGUGGGGGUUGGAAAGUUUCGGCGGUUGGGGAUGGACUCGCGGCUUAUCAGCUUGUUGGUGGGGUAGUGGCUUACCAAGGCUUUGACGGGUAGCCGGCCUGAGAGGGUGACCGGCCACAUUGGGACUGAGAUACGGCCCAGACUGAUACGGGAGGCAGAAGUGGGGAAUAUUGCAAAAUGGGCGGAAGCAGGAUGCAGCAACGCCGCGUGCGGGAUGACGGCCUUAGGGUUGUAAACCGCUUUCGCCUGUGACGAAGCGUGAGUGACGGUAAUGGGUAAAGAAGCACCGGCUAACUACGUG